AGGGCACCACCAGGAGUGGAGCCUGCGGCUUAAUUUGACUCAACACGGGAAAACUCACCCGGCCCGGACACUGGAAGGAUUGACAGAUUGAGAGCUCUUUCUUGAUUCAGUGGGUGGUGGUGCAUGGCCGUUCUUAGUUGGUGGAGUGAUUUGUCUGGUUAAUUCCGAUAACGAACGAGACUCUAGCCUACUAAAUAGAUCGUCGGCUUACAAACGCCGGCGAGACUUCUUAGAGGGACAGGCGGUGAUUCAACCGCACGAAACAGAGCAAUAACAGGUCUGUGAUGCCCUUAGAUGUCCGGGGCCGCACGCGCGCUACACUGAAGUGAUCAGCGUGCUUUUUCAACCUACUCUGUCAAGAGUGGGGAACCCAAUGAACCUUCUUCGUGAUUGGGAUAGGGGAUUGUAAUUAUUCCCCUUGAACGAGGAAUUCCCAGUAAGCGCGAGUCAUAAGCUCGCGUUGAUUACGUCCCUGCCCUUUGUACACACCGCCCGUCGCUACUACCGAUUGAAUGUUUU
rnacentral:rRNA from 1 species